CACGUAGGGCGCAAGCGUUGUCCGGAAUUAUUGGGCGUAAAGAGCUCGUAGGUGGCCUGUUGCGUCCGCUGUGAAAACUCAGGGCUUAACCCUGAGCCGGCAGUGGAUACGGGCAGGCUAGAGGUAGGUAGGGGGAGAAUGGAAUUCCUGGUGUAGCGGUGAAAUGCGCAGAUAUCAGGAGGAACACCGGUGGCGAAGGCGGUUCUCUGGGCCUUACCUGACACUGAGGAGCGAAAGCGUGGGGAGCAAACAGG
rnacentral:rRNA from 1 species